UUUUUAUUGACUUAAAAUUAACAUGUUUUCUAUUCCAACUGAAUGUGACUUCCCGCUCAACUGCAACGCUCAAUCUUAAUAAAAUCUGUUAUUAACGUCGUUUUAUUUGUUUUUUACUUCAUCGGAAGCGAUUUAUAUGCAGACUUACGUCUGAAAAUUAUAAGUCUGAACUGGCUAGCGAGGAACUUUUUAUUUUAUCAAUGCCUUACCAACGUGGAUACGCAAAACGAUCGUCUCGGGACUUGAUUUAAAGAAACCACAGAUGAAGCUCUUAGUCGAUUUCCCCACGAUCUACUUCUUCUUCUGUGACCGUCCGAGGACGCACCAAGUUGAUUUCGCACUUCCAGCGGCAUGUAUGCGACAACUGAACAUUUGCAUUAUCCUCAAAAACACUCAAAAACUUAUCUUUUUGGAACACUUGACGCACUACAACGGCACUGAAACAUCGAAGACUAUAAUAUGAUAGUCGUUCUAUCACUAAAUUUGUCACAUAAAUUACGUUUUGACUCGUUCACCUGACGCUGACGAAAA